GAUGAAGAACGCAGUGAAAUGCGAUAAGUAGUGUGAAUUGCAGAAUUCAGUGUAUCAUCGAAUCUUUGAACGCACAUUGCGCCCCUUGGUAUCCCGAGGGGCAUGCCUGUUCGAGCGUCAUUUCACCACUCAAGCCUGGCUUGGUGUUGGGCGACGUCCCCUUUGGGGACGCGCCUCGAAACGCUCGGCGGCGUGGCACCGGCUUUAAGCGUAGCAGAAUCUUUCGCUUUGGAAGUCGGGGCCCCGUCUGCCGGAAGACCUACUCGCAAGGUUGACCUCGGAUCAGGCAGGGAUACCCGCUGAACUUAAGCAUAUCAAUAAGCGGAGGA
rnacentral:misc_RNA from 1 species